GACGAACCGAGCGAACGUUAUUCGGAAUCACUGGGCUUAAAGGGCGCGUAGGCGGGCCUGAAAGUCAGGGGUGAAAGCCCCCAGCUCAACUGGGGAAGUGCCCCUGAUACUUCAGGCCUCGAGGGAGGUAGGGGCGUGCGGAACUUCCGGUGGAGCGGUGAAAUGCGUAGAUAUGGGAAGGAACACCGGUGGCGAAAGGCGGCG
rnacentral:rRNA from 1 species